AUUGAACGCUGGCGGCAUGCUUUACACAUGCAAGUCGGACGGCAGCACAGAGACGCUUGCUUCUUGGGUGGCGAGUGGCGAACGGGUGAGUCAUAUAUCGGAACGUACCGAGUAAUGGGGGAUAACUAAUCGAAAGAUUAGCUAAUACCGCAUAUUCUCUGAGGCGGAAAGCAGGGUACCUUCAGGCCUUUCGUUAUUCGAGCGUCCGAUAUCUGAUUAGCUAGUUGGUGGGGUAAAGGCCUACCAAGGAGACGAUCAGUAGCGGGUCUGAGAGGAUGAUCGGCCACACUGGAACUGAGACACGGCCCAGACUCCUACGGGAGGCAGCAGUGGGGAAUUUUGGACAAUGGGCGCAAGCCUGAUCCAGCCAUGCCGCGUGUCUGAAGAAGGCCUUCGGGUUGUAAAGGACUUUUGUCAGGGAAGAAAAGGCUGUUGCUAAUAUCAAUAGCUGAUGGCGGUACCUGAAGAAUAAGCACCGGCUAACUACGUG
rnacentral:rRNA from 1 species